UACAGAGACUGCAAGCGUUAUUCGGAUUCACUGGGCGUAAAGGGUGCGCAGGUGGCCAAGUGUGUUAGGCGUGAAAGCCCGGGGCUUAACCCCGGAAUUGCACCUAAAACUACAUGGCUAGAGCAUUGGAGAGGGGAGCAGAAUUCACGGUGUAGCAGUGAAAUGCGUAGAUAUCGUGAGGAAUACCAGAGGCGAAGGCGGCUCCUGGACAAUUGCUGACACUCAGGCACGAAAGCGUGGGGAGCAAACAGGG
rnacentral:rRNA from 1 species